rnacentral:rRNA from 1 species
UACGUAGGGUGCGAGCGUUUAAUCGGAAUUACUGGGCGUAAAGCGUGCGCAGGCGGUUUUGUAAGCCAGAUGUGAAAUCCCCGGGCUUAACCUGGGAAUGGCAUUUGGGACUGCAAGGCUGGAGUGUGGCAGAGGAGACUGGAAUUCCUGGUGUAGCAGUGAAAUGCGUAGAUAUCAGGAGGAAUACCGAUGGCGAAGGCAGGUCUCUGGGCUGACACUGACGCUCAUGCACGAAAAGCGUGGGGGAGCGAACAGG